rnacentral:rRNA from 1 species
GUAGGGAAUAUUGGGCAAUGGAGGCAACUCUGACGCAGCCAUGCCGCGUGCAGGAAGAAGGCGCUACGCGUUGUAAACUGCUUUUAACCGGGAAGAAACCCCAGGACGUGUCCUGGGUUGACGGUACCGGAGGAAUAAGCACCGGCUAACUUCGUGCCAGCAGCCGCGGUAAUACGAAGGGUGCAAGCGUUAUCCGGAUUCAUUGGGUUUAAAGGGUGCGUAGGCGGAGCGUUAAGUCAGUGGUGAAAUCCUGCAGCUUAACUGUAGACUUGCCAUUGAUACUGGCGCUCUUGAGUGCGCUUGAAGUGGGCGGAAUGUGCCGUGUAGCGGUGAAAUGCUUAGAUAUGGCACAGAACACCAAUUGCGAAGGCAGCUCACUAAGGCGAUACUGACGCUGAGGCACGAAAGCGUGGGGAUCGAACAGGAUUAGAAACCCGGGUAGUCC